rnacentral:rRNA from 1 species
AUUGAACGCUGGCGGCAUGCCUUACACAUGCAAGUCGAACGGCAGCACGGGAGCAAUCCUGGUGGCGAGUGGCGAACGGGUGAGUAAUAUAUCGGAACGUGCCCAGUCGUGGGGAUAACGUAGCGAAAGCUACGCUAAUACCGCAUACGAUCUAUGGAUGAAAGCGGGGGAUCGCAAGACCUCGCGCGAUUGGAGCGGCCGAUAUCAGAUUAGGUAGUUGGUGAGGUAAAGGCUCACCAAGCCGACGAUCUGUAGCUGGUCUGAGAGGACGACCAGCCACACUGGGACUGAGACACGGCCCAGACUCCUACGGGAGGCAGCAGUGGGGAAUUUUGGACAAUGGACGCAAGUCUGAUCCAGCCAUUCCGCGUGCAGGAUGAAGGCCCUCGGGUUGUAAACUGCUUUUGUACGGAACGAAAGGUUUGUCUUAAUACGAUGAGCUCAUGACGGUACCGUAAGAAUAAGCACCGGCUAACUACG